UACAGAGGGUGCAAGCGUUAAUCGGAAUUACUGGGCGUAAAGCGUGCGUAGACGGUUAUGUAAGUCGGGUGUGAAAGCCCCGGGCUCAACCUGGGAAUUGCAUUCGAGACUGCAUAGCUAGGGUGCGGAAGAGGGAAGCGGAAUUUCCGGUGUAGCGGUGAAAUGCGUAGAUAUCGGAAGGAACACCAGUGGCGAAAGCGGCUUCCGUGGUCCAGCACCGGACGUUCAGGCACGAAAGCGUGGGGAGCAAACAGG
rnacentral:rRNA from 1 species